rnacentral:tRNA from 1 species
GGCCCUAUCGUCUAGCGGUCUACGGACACCACCCUCUCAAGGUGGAGGACACUCGGGGUUUCGGAUUCCCGUUGGGGCUA